GAUUAACGCUGGCGGUAUGCCUAACACAUGCAAGUCGAACGGAAUACUCGAAAAGAGAAUCUCACACUAGUGAGAGGUUCUCCAACCGAGUAUUUAGUGGCGGACGGGUGAGUAACACGUUGGAACCUGCCCCGAAGUGGGGAAUAACUGCUCGAAAGAGUAGCUAAUACCCCAUAGUAUCCGGUUUAUCCGGAUUAAAGAUUUAUCGCUUCGGGAGGGGCCUGCGUCUGAUUAGCUUGUUGGUGAGGUAAAAGCUCACCAAGGCGACGAUCAGUAGCUGGUUCGAGAGGAUGACCAGCCACACUGGGACUGAGAUACGGCCCAGACUCCUACGGGAGGCAGCAGUGAGGAAUCUUCCACAAUGGACGAAAGUCUGAUGGAGCAAUACCGCGUGCAGGACGACGCUUUUCGGAGUGUAAACUGCUUUUGUCGUCGAAGAUUAUGACUGUAGACGAAGAAUAAGGACCGGCUAACUACGUGCCAGCAGCCGCGGUAAUACGUAGGGUCCAAGCGUUAUCCGGAAUUACUGGGCGUAAAGCGUACGCAGAUGGCGUGAUAGGUAAGUUGUGAAAUCUUGUGGCUCAACCAUAUAGACUAUGACUUAAACCAUCACACUAGAGGUUGGUAGAGGCAAGCGGAAUUUCCGGUGUAGCAGUGACAUGCGUAGAUAUCGGAAGGAACACCAAUGGCGAAGGCAGCUUGCUGGGCCACACCUGACGUUAAGGUACGAAAGCGUGGGGAGCGAACGGGAUUAGAUACCCCGGUAGUCCACGCCGUAAACGAUGGAUACUAGUGGUAUGGAGAUUCGACCCUCUGUGUCACGAAGCUAACGCGAUAAGUAUCCCGCCUGGGGAGUACGAACGCAAGUUUAAAACUCAAAGGAAUUGACGGGGACCCGCACAAGCAGUGGAGGAUGGGGUUUAAUAUGACGCUAAGCGUAGAACCUUACCGAGGCUUGACAUCCUGGGAAGUCGAUCGAAAGAUUGAUGUGCCUUCGGGAACCCAGUGACAGGUGCUGCAUGGCCGUCGUCAGCUCGUGUCGUGAGAUGUUGGGUUAAGUCCCGCAACGAGCGCAACCCUUGUCGUCUGUUGUAUUUUCAGGCGAGACUGCCCGGGCCAACCGGGAGGAAGGUGAGGACGACGUCUGGUCGGCAUGGCCCUUACGCCUCGGGCUACACCCGUCCUACAAUGGCUGGUACAACGCGUCGCCAAGUCGCAAGACGGAGCUAAUCGCACCAAAACCAGUCCCAGUUCGGAUUGGGGGCUGAAACUCGCCCCCAUGAAGUCGGAAUUGCUAGUAAUGGCAGGUCAGCUAUACUGCCGUGAAUACGUUCCCGGGUCUUGUACACACCGCCCGUCAAAUCACGAAAGUUGGGAGUGCCCGAAGUACCCUUUUGGGUCCUAAGGUAAGUCCAGCGAUUGGGGUU
rnacentral:rRNA from 1 species